UACGUAGGGGGCAAGCGUUAUCCGGAUUUACUGGGUGUAAAGGGAGCGUAGACGGCGAUGCAAGCCAGAUGUGAAAGCCCGGGGCUCAACCCCGGGACUGCAUCUGGAACUGUGUGGCUGGAGUGUCGGAGAGGCAAGUGGAAUUCCUAGUGUAGCGGUGAAAUGCGUAGAUAUUAGGAGGAACACCAGUGGCGAAGGCGGCUUGCCGGACGAUGACUGACGUUGAGGCUCGAAAGCGUGGGGAGCAAACAGG
rnacentral:rRNA from 1 species